AAAGAAACUCUUUAAGCAGUGCAAGCAAUGAUACCAGUGUGGGGACACAGAAAGACAAGACAGUGGCUCAAUAAGACAAUUCAGUAGCCUUGUAUCUCCCAGAGUGCAAAAUGAGUUCAUCAUCAUCUUCGCUUCUGUGGUGGCUGCCACAAUUGGACAGGAAGUUGCAUUGCGGAGUGUUUCUGACAUCUGCUCGACAGACAUGAAAAGGAGCGGGUUCAGUCAGAAUGGUCCAAGCGUGCAUCUUACCGUUAAUCUUUUCAAUCAUUCUUUUUAACCUUACAGAUGCUGCAGUGAUUUGGGCUAAAAAAGGUAGUUCUGUGCAUCUGCCGUGUCCCCUGCAGUUUCAGAAAGGAACAGUUUCUGUAGAGUGGGAGAAAAAUGGAGCUCAGCAACUUUGUGGAUACUAUGUUACAAGGAAUCAUAGUUCCUUCCAUUCAAAUUCUUCAGAAAUAUGUCGUAUAGGAGUAAAUUCGUCUGGACUGACACUGUCGUAUGUGCAGUACGACGACUCUGGAAAUUACACCUGCACACAGAGGAGAAUUAUACCACCACCAGUAGAGGAAGCUUUACACACGACCAGUCUGCACGUUGAAGGUCUGUCCUUGGAGCGGCUGAACAGCAGUGUUCCUCACUGCAUGGAGCUGCGGUGCACACUGGAAGGAGUGGAAUCAGAAGAUGCAAAUUUCACUUGGAGAAGAGAAGGUCAAGGAUUGCCAGAGCAAGUGUGGAUCAAUCACACUGCUGGCACGAGAAGCUCCUUGUUCCUGUGUAAACCUGACUGGAGAGAAGGUGACACAUUCACCUGCUCUGCUACGCUCACCAACCGAACUCAGUUCAGUCAGAACAUCUCAGUCCCUGCUGCCAUGUCAGAGCCUCGUACCAACAGUAAUUUGAUGUUGUUCAUCGCAUCUGGAGGUGCAGGGACUGUGGUGAUCAUCACUGUUGCGAUUCUGUGUGUCUGCAAAUGCAAGAAAAAAGCUCAGUCUUCAGGUCCUGUCUUCUACAACAAGGUGUACGAGAAUUUCAGUUUCAGUACCCUGCAGAAUGCAGAAGGCCAGGCCCUGGCAGCAGAAGAUGGGCUUUAUGAAAUAUGCUCUGUCAGCCCACCUCAGGCAAGCUACUUUUAUAAGUAGGUGUCAGAAAGCACUUAAUCCAGCCUUUAGAUUGUGUGUUGUGCACGUACAUGCAGGGUGCUCAGAGAAAGAAUGCAGGAAAGUGUAUUUUAUAAAUGUAACAUUGCUGUAAAUAAUGUAACUACUGUGACAUUAAUGCGUAAUUAAUGCAGUUAUUUUGUAAUGUGCAGGCACAAACACCUUUGGCAAACCUUUGUGUGAUUUGCGCAGCACAAAAAAGUUAUUACAGGCUUGGCGCAGGACAUGGACUCACAAGUGUUUGUGUGUAUGCAUUUCUGGGUAAAAUACACAGGGGAUUGUUGUGUGAUUAACUGCAAUGUAACUAGGAGGAAUGGAAGAAAAAAAAUUGCAUUGACAGCUAAUAUCCCCCAGAUAUGAACUGACUUUAAUAAAUACAAAAUCCUUGAGCGCCUUGCUUUACA
rnacentral:lncRNA from 1 species